UACGAAGGUGGCGAAUGUUGCUCGGAUUCACUGGGCGUAAAGCGUCUGUAGGUGGCUUGUUAAGUUAGAGGUGAAAGCCCCCGGCUCAACCGGGGAACUGCGGGGCAUACUGCUGGUCUUGAGGCAAGUAAGGGUUGCGAGAACUGUAGGUGGAGCGGUGAAAUGCGUAGAUAUCUACAGGAAUGCCGAUGGUGAAGACGCGCAACUGGGCUUGUCCUGACGCUGAGGCACGAAAGCGUGGGGAGCAAACAGG
rnacentral:rRNA from 1 species